AUUGAACGCUGGCGGCAGGCCUAACACAUGCAAGUCGAGCGGAUGAAGGGAGCUUGCUCCUGGAUUCAGCGGCGGACGGGUGAGUAAUGCCUAGGAAUCUGCCUGGUGGUGGGGGAUAACGUCCGGAAACGGGCGCUAAUACCGCAUACGUCCUGAGGGAGAAAGUGGGGGAUCUUCGGACCUCACGCUAUCAGAUGAGCCUAGGUCGGAUUAGCUAGUUGGUGGGGUAAAGGCCUACCAAGGCGACGAUCCGUAACUGGUCUGAGAGGAUGAUCAGUCACACUGGAACUGAGACACGGUCCAGACUCCUACGGGAGGCAGCAAUGGGGAAUAUUGGACAAUGGGCGAAAGCCUGAUCCAGCCAUGCCGCGUGUGUGAAGAAGGUCUUCGGAUUGUAAAGCACUUUAAGUUGGGAGGAAGGGCAGUAAGUUAAUACCUUGCUGUUUUGACGUUACCAACAGAAUAAGCACCGGCUAACUUCGUG
rnacentral:rRNA from 1 species